AACGUAGGACGCAAGCGUUAUCCGGAAUUACUGGGCGUAAAGCGCGUGUAGGUGGUUUGAUAAGUCACUGUUGAAAGCUCCCGGCUAAACUGGGAGAGGUGCGGUGAGACUGUCAGGCUAGAGUAUGGGAGAGGGAUGCAGAAUUCCGGGUGUAGCGGUGAAAUGCGUAGAUAUCUGGAGGAACAUCGGUGGCGAAGGCGGCAUCCUGGACCGAUAUUGACGCUGAGGCGCGAAAGCCAGGGGAGCAAACGGG
rnacentral:rRNA from 1 species